ACCAAAGAAAAGCCACACCAUUUCAGUUUGACAUAAGUGAAGAAAAAGAAAAUAUGGCCAGGACUCCAAUUUUCAUCAUUUUCAUUCUCUUCACAAUAACCGCAUCAACACAAGGCUUUGUUACCCUCUGUGAGAAAGAUAGUCAAACGUACCAUGGGCCAUGUAGUUGGUCACCGGGUUGUGAUGAUGGCUGUAGGAACAAUGAGAAAGCCUUCUUUGGGAAAUGUAAGGGCUAUCACUGGGGUUUUCCUAAAUGUGUAUGCUAUUUUUACUUUUGUUGAAUUCCUACAACCUAGGAGAUGCAUGAUUUGGGUGUAUUAAUUACGAAAAAUUUGAGUACUUCAGUGAUC